GACUCUGUUUGUUCGCUUGUUAUUCCUUUAUUUUAACUGUAGAGUCGUGCCUCGAGGAGUUUGGGACACUUUGAAUUCUGUUAUUCCCUAGUGUCGAGGUCCUGAUUCUUUGAAUCAAUAUCGUCUGAUUAGUCAUUGUAUAAAUGUCGAAGAGAGAGUUCGGUAAAGGCAUUAGUUAUGGUACUAACGAUGAGGACUCCGCUUUGGGACGUCAACUGAUCGGGUCUUGGAACCAUUAAGGAAUUCUGUAGUUGGCCCUCUCAUUGAAGUUGAAGAAAACCUUAAGAGAUUGUUGGAAUAGAUUGUGUAGUUGGAACUUCAGCGGUCUCUAUAUGCUACUAAAUGACAGUAUUUUGAGUACAAUCUGCGCUGUUCCGAUUGCCAGACACAGCAAAGUGCAUUGGAAUUCAGCGAUUUUACCAUACACCGGCCUAUGAGAUUGCCCAUGAUGUUGCUGAGAUGAAUACAAGCCACAUGAACCGGGAUUGUGUGCGGAAAUUCGACACUCUUCUGAGAUCAAGCAUAUCAUUUGGCAAUGUCUUCUCAAUAGUAUCACUGCCCAAGCUACAUUAGCAAGUGUCUGUCCACAAUGUAGUCUUCAACCUGUGACUACUCUACGCCUUCCCACAGAUGGCCCAGUCGCUGCGACCUUUUGAAAUGCUUUAAAUAUUUCACCUCGGCAAGGAAUUCAUUUGGAAAGAAUCUUGGGGACAGGCCUAGAAUUCCUUGAAAGAAAUGGGAAUAUGUCGCAGUCACUGAUGCUAAAAGCAAAACGGGGAAGAGAGCGAGAACGUUAUGCAAA